UACGAAGGGGGCUCGCGUUGCUCGGAAUCACUGGGCUUAAAGGGCGCGUAGGCGGACUGCCAAGUCCGGGGUGAAAUCUUUCGGCUUAACCGGAAAAGGGCCUUGGAAACUGGCGGUCUCGAGGGAGGUAGGGGCCUGUGGAACUUCGGGUGGAGCGGUGAAAUGCGUUGAUAUCCGAAGGAACGCCGGUGGCGAAAGCGACGGGCUGGAUCUCUUCUGACGCUGAGGCGCGAAAGCCAGGGGAGCAAACGGG
rnacentral:rRNA from 1 species